GUUCUGGACUGCAGAAAGGUCUGCUUCUUCCUUUUCCAUUUACAUAGAAGGAAAUGUAAUACAUGCUGUGUUACUUUGUAUCAUUAAAAGAAGAGGGACUAAUUGCGUACAAACUCUGUCAUAACAUCUUUGAGUUGGAGGUUUAAUGUGUUUUGAAGAGCUGUUGGACUUAUUCUAAGAGACAAUGGCACAAGAGCAUGUCUCCCAGCCUCAGUGUUUUAACUUCAUAGUAGGCGUGCGUCAACAGGACAACAUCGAUGUGGCAGUCCUUCCUUGGUCAGCAAUGGGACACAUAUUUAAGCUCCUACCUCCAGGAAGCAGGGAAUGGAGAGACCCAGUGUUCUCUAGCAUCUGUGAAUUUUAUUUUAGCUCAGUCAAGGUGCUAAACUUUUUUGUUUCUCAAAAUAUCUACCUCUAAAAUAACUGUGUCAAUCUUAGUCACGUGGUUACUUUAGAUUCCUGGAAUGAAGGAUGAUGUAGUGCAUAGGUAUGUCAGUCCCAG
ensembl:lncRNA